rnacentral:rRNA from 1 species
UACGUAGGGGGCUAGCGUUGUCCGGAUUUAUUGGGCGUAAAGAGCGUGUAGGCGGCCAUGUAGGUCCGGUGUGAAAACUCGAGGCUUAACCUCGAGAUGUCAUCGGAAACCAUUUGGCUAGAGUCCGGAAGAGGAGAGUGGAAUUCCUGGUGUAGCGGUGAAAUGCGCAGAUAUCAGGAAGAGCACCAAUGGCGAAAGCAGCUCUCUGGGACGGUACUGACGCUGAGACGCGAAAGCGUGGGGAGCGAACAGG